rnacentral:rRNA from 1 species
AGACGUCUACAUUAGAUACCCCGGUAGUCCCAGCCGUAAACUAUGCGCGUUAGGUGUAUCGGUGACCACGAGUUACCGAGGUGCCGAAGGGAAACCGUGAAACGUGCCGCCUGGGAAGUACGGUCGCAAGGCUGAAACUUAAGGAAUUGGCGGGGAGCACCACAACGGGUGGAGCCUGCGGUUUAAUUGGACUCAACGCCGGAAAUCUCACCGGAUAAGACAGCAGAAUGAUUGCCGGGCUGAAGACUCUGCAUGACUAGCUG